rnacentral:rRNA from 1 species
UACAGAGGGUGCAAGCGUUUUAAUCGGAUUUACUGGGCGUAAAGGGCGCGUAGGUGGUUGUUUAAGUGAGAUGUGAAAUCCCCGGGCUUAACCUGGGAACUGCAUCUUAUACUGGGCAGCUGGAGUGCAAUAGAGGGUAGUGGAAUUUCCGGUGUAGCGGUGAAAUGCGUAGAUAUCGGAAGGAACACCAGUGGCGAAGGCGGCUACCUGGAUUUGACACUGACACUGAGGCGCGAGAGCGUGGGGAGCAAACAGG